GAGACGGAAGAAACGGAAAUCUUCAGGGUGAUAGACUUGCUUGGUAUCUAUGCCUUAUUUCAGCAUGUUUUAUACCCUUGCCACUAGCAGAUAGUUGUUCACUAGGCUUCUAAUAUGAUUAUUAUGCUACUCAUGCCCUUUAAACUAUUGUUAAUUGGUUAUGGUUUACCAUGCCACUGGAAAAUCAUCCUUUGGGCUACCAGAAUCACAAGCAGUUGUUCCACGGGCUACCAACAGAACCUGCAGAUUGCCUUUCCUUUGGCAGAAAUAUUUUGUUGUGUAUAAAUGAUUGCUGUAAAUCUCUCCUCUCUAGAUCUCUAGUUAUAUUGAAGAUUUUCAUUCAUGUGUAAACAGGUGAGCCAAGG
rnacentral:misc_RNA from 1 species